rnacentral:misc_RNA from 1 species
UCUCCGUUGGUGAACCAGCGGAGGGAUCAUUACCGAGUUAUCAACUCCCAAACCCCUGUGAACAUACCCAACGUUGCCUCGGCGGGACCGCCCCGGCGCCCUCGGCGUCCCGGAACCAGGCGCCCGCCGGAGGACCCAAACUCUUGUUUAAACCAUAGUGGCAUAUUCUGAGUCUCACAAGAAAAAUGAAUCAAAACUUUCAACAACGGAUCUCUUGGCUCUG